CACGUACUCCCUCUGUUCGGAAUUACUUGUCACAUAAAUGGAUGUAUCUAGACGUAUUUUAGUUGUAGACAUAUCCAUUUUUAUCCACUUUUAAAACAAGUAAUUUGAAACGGAGGGAGUAGAAG
rfam:Triticum aestivum genome assembly, contig: Triticum_aestivum_CS42_TGACv1_scaffold_485269_6AS